AAAACGGUAACUCAGUAGUAAAGUCCCCGCCUUGCACAUGGGGAGACCUGGGUUCGAUUCCCGGCUGAUUCC
rnacentral:tRNA from 1 species